GACGAACGCUGGCGGCGUGCUUAACACAUGCAAGUCGAACGAGGCCCCUCCUUCGGGGGGGUGUCCUAGUGGCGAACGGGUGAGUAACACGUGGGCAACCUGCCCCCGGCUCCGGGAUAACCCCAAGAAAUUGGGGCUAAUACCGGAUAUGUCCGCUGACCGCAUGGUCUGGUGGUGGAAAGGGUUUCCGGCUGGGGAUGGGCCCGCGGCCUAUCAGCUUGUUGGUGGGGUAGUGGCCUAACAAGGCGACGACGGGUAGCCGGCCUGAGAGGGUAACCGGCCACGCUGGGACUGAGACACGGCCCAGACUCCUACGGGAGGCAGCAGUGGGGAAUAUUGCGCAAGGGGCGAAAGCCUGACGCAGCGACGCCGCGUGGGGGAUGACGGCCUUCGGGUUGUAAACCUCUUUCAGCAGGGACGAAGCGCAAGUGACGGUACCUGCAGAAGAAGCACCGGCCAACUACGUGCCAGCCGCCGCUGUAAAAC
rnacentral:rRNA from 1 species